rnacentral:ncRNA from 1 species
GGGGACCUUCGGGGCCCUAUAAUCCGGGUCUGUAUCAACAGACCCCCAAGCUAACGGAAGACAGAGA